rnacentral:rRNA from 1 species
CUACGGGAGGCAGCAGUAGGGAAUCUUCGGCAAUGGACGGAAGUCUGACCGAGCAACGCCGCGUGAGUGAAGAAGGUUUUCGGAUCGUAAAGCUCUGUUGUAAGAGAAGAACGAGUGUGAGAGUGGAAAGUUCACACUGUGACGGUAUCUUACCAGAAAGGGACGGCUAACUACGUGCCAGCAGCCGCGGUAAUACGUAGGUCCCGAGCGUUGUCCGGAUUUAUUGGGCGUAAAGCGAGCGCAGGCGGUUAGAUAAGUCUGAAGUUAAAGGCUGUGGCUUAACCAUAGUACGCUUUGGAAACUGUUUAACUUGAGUGCAGAGGGGGAGAGUGGAAUUCCAUGUGUAGCGGUGAAAUGCGUAGAUAUAUGGAGGAACACCGGUGGCGAAAGCGGCUCUCUGGUCUGUAACUGACGCUGAGGCUCGAAAGCGUGGGGAGCAAACAGGAUUAAAUACCCGAGUAGUC